ACAGCCAUAUCACCCAGCAACCCAAGACCGAUUUCAUAUGGAAGCUAAGCAGGGCUGAGCCUGGUCAGUACCUGGAUGGGAGACCACAUGGGAAAACUAGCUUGCUUUU
rnacentral:rRNA from 1 species